rnacentral:rRNA from 1 species
CUACGCCUGCAUGAAGUCGGAAUUGCUAGUAAUCGCAGAUCAGCAUGCUGCGGUGAAUACGUUCCCGGGCCUUGUACACACCGCCCGUCACACCAUGGGAGUCGGUAACACCCGAAGCCUGUAGUCUAACCGCAAGGAGGACGCAGUCGAAGGUGGGAUUGAUGACUGGGGUGAAGUCGUAACAAGGUAAC